rnacentral:lncRNA from 1 species
CUCCAGCAAAGGGAUCCUGUGUCAGGAGAUGAGACCUGUGCAUUACUCGCAGCGGUCUCCUGGAGAGGAAGCUGCUGGGUGUGAGAGAAGCUGUCGUGCAUGACCUCUGGAAGCACCACAGGGGAGCGAAGCAAAUUCCUCAAAUGCUUUAGAUGGAAUCAAGUGGUGAUACAUGGAUGGGGCUAUAAAUCUCCAGUUUCAGCAUCAGUCUGUCAGAAAUGGCUGAGUCAACAAAGUAAAACAUUUAAGGAAAUUUUGCUGCUCUCAAGAAGUCUUCUAGCAAAGGAUGGGCAAUGUUUUACCAUAGCCCUGCUCUGUUCUCUGCUGGCUCAGCCCAGCCAGUGUAUAUGGAGCUAAAAUUAGAAAUCUGCUGAUGCAUUGAUGAAGGAGCCCUAAGAGGUCACGUCGCCUUAUUGUGUCUAUGAGUAUGUGUCACAAGACUACAUGACAACAGCAGGGCUGUGCAUUGCCACAAG